rnacentral:rRNA from 1 species
UACGGAGGGGACUAGCGUUGUUCGGAAUUACUGGGCGUAAAGCGCACGUAGGCGGAUUUGUAAGUCAGGGGUGAAAUCCCGGGGCUCAACCCCGGAACUGCCUUUGAUACUGCGAAUCUCGAGUCCGGAAGAGGUGAGUGGAAUUCCUAGUGUAGAGGUGAAAUUCGUAGAUAUUCGGAAGAACACCAGUGGCGAAGGCGACUCACUGGACAGGUAUUGACGCUGAGGUGCGAAAGCGUGGGGAGCAAACAGG